GCCAACUACCUGUGUCAGUUGGUAGAGCGUGAGACUUUUAAUCUUAAGGUCAGGGGUUCGAGUCCCCUAGGUGGCU
rnacentral:tRNA from 1 species